UUGUGUUCAAAACUGCCCAGAAAGUGUUUUUAAGGCAGUUUUGAAUCUUUUGAUUGCUGUUUUGAGUUUUGGGUUUGUUUUAGUAUUUAAACGUGAGUUUUGCAUUCCUUGAGUCUAAUCUAGUGCUUUAAACUUUGUUUUUACAUUUCUAAGUCAGUUUUCAAGUGUUUAGCAAUCCCUCCUAGUCCCCGGUCUAGAACGAUCCCUAUUUACAUACUUUGCUACAAUUGAUAAAAAGAGGGUUUAAUUUUGUGUGUUAACUUAUUUCACACAUCAGCUACACAAGGCUCAACAGGGUUAAACUUAAACACAUAAUGAACGGGAUAGGCUUUUUGGCUCUUGGCUCACUAAACAACUUCAUCUUGAAUAUGUGUUAUGCAAAUCAAUAACAUGCUUUGAAUGAAAUAGGCAUGAGUACUAGUAUUUGGAACUAAAUGAUGAAACGCAUUCUAAAUAACAACCAAGCAAAGAAUAAUGAGAUCAUGCAACGACUUUAGAAAACAACGAUGCACAAAUUAUUAACUCUCCAAAUAAACAUUUAGGCUCAAGUCUCACAAGGUUGUAGCAUUCAUUUGAGUUCCUUCUUUCAAGCAUGGUACAAAAACUAAUUAUUAUUAUUUUUUCUUUAUGAUUGCAUGUGAAUUCAUAAAUUAUAACCACAACCAAGCAUACACCAAAGAGUAAAUCAAAUUUUCAUCCAUGUUUAUAACUCUCUUUAACAGUGAUAUAAUUAAAAACCAAAUCCUCAUCAUUGUGUUGGAAGGUACCCUAAGACACAAACAAACACAUAAAAACAACUCUUUUUGGGUUUUUCAAAACAAUUUUUUCAAAUUUUUAUGAGAUUUUUAAAUUUUUAUGAGAUUUUUGGAUUUUUAUGUCAAAACAGACUAAAACACUCCAAAACAGCUUAAAAACACUUAAAACAGCAAGGAACAAUGAUAGGAGCAUAUUUAUGCAACUUAGUUACCAUGUUUUCUUGCACUUAGUUAGUUAUUGCUUAUAAGAGUGUUUUAAGCCAUUUUCGUAUGUUGGUAGGUCCUAAUAACAAAGUUGGCAAGAAAAGUGCAUUUUGGAGCAAUUUUGGGCUGAAAUGGAUUGCAUGCACUUGGAGACAUGAGGAUGGACGUUUUGGGAAGAUUAGAAUUCAGCAUAUGUGUGUGCAAGUGUGUGACCUACAACUAACAAACAUCAUAGCUGCCAUGUGAUGGAGAACAUGUGUUGAUUGUGGCUGAAAUGAUGAAGCAUGUGUGUGCAAAAGGAAAGGAGAAACAUGGACAGCCAACAAAUUCGUCAAAACUGCCUGUGCAGAUUAGCUGACUUUGGAAGCAUGUUACGAACAGCUCCGAAUGAAUGAUAGAAUGAGCCUUAUAUUCCUAGAAAGCUACGGAUGUCUAUUUUCUGGAGAAAUUUACGGAUUGUUAAUAUCAUUUUUCUAGAAGAAGUUAUGGGAAUUGUAACACUGAAAGGUUUAGAAAAGGGCUAAGCAGAUUUGGCUAAUAAAAUGAGAAAGUAAAGGCACUUGUUUUGUGUUUUGCUUUGUCAUCAACACUCAGCAGCAAAUGGGGUUAUGAUUGCACUCAUUUGUCUUUGGAGCAAGUGGAAAUGCACAGCUAGAAAGAGAAGACACACCCACAUGCAAAGGAAAGGAGAAACAUGGAUAGCCAACAAAUUCGUCAAAACUGCCUGUGCAGAUUAGCUGACUUUGAAAGCAUGUUACGAACAGCUCAGAAUGAAUGAGAGAAUGAGCCUUAUAUUCCUGGAAAUCUGCGGAUGUCUAUUUUCUGGAGCAAUUUACAGAUUAUUAAUAUCAUUUUUCUAGAAGAAGUUAUGGGCAUUGUAACACUGAAAGGUUCAGAAAAGGGCUAAGCAGAUUUGGCUGAAAUGAUGAAGCAUGUGUGUGCAAAAGGAAAGGAGAAACGUGGACAGCACACACCCAUGCAAUCUGCACAUGCAAAGGAAAUGGAGUGGUCCUCUCCCUAGCCUAUAAAUACAUCCACCACCCCCCUUCCAAAGGAAGACAAUCUUGAUCCAUCAAAAGAGCUUCAUUCACAAACACAAGUCCCAUGCCUUGAGCUCCAUUCCAUUUCAUCCAUACAUUCAAACACAUCUCCAUACAUUUCCAUUUUUCAUGUCGU
rnacentral:lncRNA from 1 species